rnacentral:snRNA from 1 species
AUACUUGCCUGCGAGAUACCAUGAUCACAAAGGCAAUUUUCCAGGGUGUGGCUUAUCCAUUGCACUAAGGAAGUGCUGAUCCCUGAAAUUUCCCCAAAUGUGGGAAACUCAACUGCAUAAUUUGUGGUAGUGGGGGACAGUGUUUGCACUUUCCCGUA